AUUUUCUUUUAAGUAAUGUUCCUUAUGUUUGAGUUAUCAAGUUAAAUUAUGUUGGUAUAAAGUUUGCUUUCGCCGCUAACUUUAUUGCACAGCUUAAUUCAGCCAUUUUUUUAAAUCUUUGAAUAUUUUAGCUAAAUCUUUGCAUAUUUAGUCCAUUUAGACUUUUCUUUAGAAAAUUAUACUAAUUACAUGUUUUUGUGAAAAAAUACCAAAAACCCCCUUAUUUUGAGUUAUUAUAAUCUUAAGCUCUCUUUAUAUUUUUUUAUGUUUUUUUUUUUUUUUUUUCUAAUUUUCUUCUUUCUCUCUUUAUACCAAAAACACCCACUUCUUUGUCAGCUUCCAUUUCUGCAUUUUUUUUAGGUUUAGUCUUUCCAUUUUCUCCUUAAUUUCAGCUUAUUAACCUUUUUUUUUUUUAAUUUUUUAAUAGUUGUUAUUUGUAGUGCUUCAAUUUCUUUUCACCUUAGAUCUAAUUAUGAAAUAAUUAGAAAAUUUAAGAAGAAUAAAAUGAAGAAAAUACGAUUGAAGCAACAUUUUCUAUAAAAAGAAAAAGGUUUCUAAAAAGGAUGAUGCUAUUAAGAGCAAAGUUGUUGAUUCAAAACCUUCGAGUAAGAGAGAAAAGGAACUUAAAAGAGAAAAUAUUCAGAAAUGAAGGAAAAUUCUUGUGGAGGAGUCAAAGGAUAGUCAAUCUCAGAUUGUAUCAAGAGAUGAAAAGUCCGUGAAAUUUGAAGAAGUUAAAGAUGAAGUGCAAGAGAAGAGAUUUAAGGUGACAAAAAUGAUGAAAAAGUGGAUGAGUGUGAUUUUAAAGAUGAAGCUUUUGUUAAAAAAUAUGAUUAUAGGGAUGACAGUUGUUGGUAAUAUGCUGAGAUGGUGAUGUUGAAGGUGAUUUUGGUGAUAGUGUUAUUGAUACCAACAUUGAUGGUUUAGGUAGUAGUGGUUGUAUUCGUGAUCCUAGAGUUGAAGUUGGAAAGAAUGUAGAUGAAGUUUUAGAAGGUAUUGGUGUUGAUAAGGUAUUUGAUAUAAUUGCUUUA